UACAGAGGGGGCAAGCGUUAUUCGGAAUCAUUGGGCGUAAAGCGCGCGUAGGCGGCCCGAUCAGUCCGCUGUAAAAGUCCAGGGCUCAACCCUGGAAAGCCGGUGGAUACUGUCGGGCUAGAGUCCGGAAGAGGCGAGUGGAAUUCCUGGUGUAGCGGUGGAAUGCGCAGAUAUCAGGAGGAACACCGAUAGCGAAGGCAGCUCGCUGGGACGGUACUGACGCUGAGGUGCGAAAGCGUGGGGAGCGAACAGG
rnacentral:rRNA from 1 species